ACUCAAAGGAAUUGACGGGGGCCCGCACAAGCAGCGGAGCGUGUGGUUUAAUUCGACGCAACACGCAGAACCUUACCUAGGCUUGACAUGCACCUGCAAGCGCUGGAAACAGCGCUGCCUUCGAGGGUGGUGCACCGGUGCUGCAUGGCUGUCGUCAGCUCGUGUCGUGAGAUGUUGGGUUAAGUCCCGCAACGAGCGCAACCCUUGCCCCAUGUUAUCAGUGUCAUGGGGGACUGCCGGUGGGUUCCACCGGAGGAAGGCGGGGAUGACGUCAAGUCCGCAUGGCCCCGACGCUUAGGGCGACACACACGCUACAAUGGCCGGCGCAGUGCGCAGCGAGCUGGUAACAGGGAGCUAAUCGCGAAGGUCGGUCUCAGUUCAGAUUGAGGGCUGCAACUUGCCCUCAUGAAGGCGGAGUUGCUAGUAACCGCGUGUCAGCAGAGCGCGGUGAAUACGUACCCGGGCCUUGUACACACCGCCCGU
rnacentral:rRNA from 1 species